rnacentral:rRNA from 1 species
AGUGAACGCUGGCGGUAGGCCUAACACAUGCAAGUCGAACGGCAGCACAGUAAGAGCUUGCUCUUACGGGUGGCGAGUGGCGGACGGGUGAGGAAUACAUCGGAAUCUACUUUUUUGUGGGGGCUAACGUAGGGAAACUUACGCUAAUACCGCAUACGACCUACGGGUGAAAGCAGGGGAUCUUCGGACCUUGCGCGAUUGAAUGAGCCUAUGUCGGAUUAGCUAGUUGGCGGGGUAAAGGCCCACCAAGGCGACGAUCCGUAGCUGGUCUGAGAGGAUGAUCAGCCACACGGGAACUGAGACACGGUCCAGAAUCCUACGGGAGGCAGCAGUGGGGAAUAUUGGACAAGGGGCGCAAGCCUGAUCCAGCCAUACCGCGUGGGUGAAGAAGGCCUUCGGGUUGUAAAGCACGUUUGUUGGGAAAGAAAAGCAGCAGGUUAAUACCCCGCUGUUCUGACGGUACCCAAAGAAUAAGCACCGGCUAACUUCGG